UGAGCCCCGAGUCAGCAGCUCUCGCUGGCGGCCAGGCUGGCCGUGGGUCCUGGGAGGGGCUUGGGUUUAUGCUUGAAUUCUCACAUUUGCUUCUCCUCGGUGCAUUUUCUUCUCUCAGUCUCCGUGGUGCUUCAAGCCACCGUCUCUGAAGCUGGAUGCCAAGUUCCGAGCGGCUGAGUCUGCACAGGAAAAGCCUCUGUCCAAAAGGAAGGGCAGACGGUUGUCAGAGGGGCAACUCUGGAGAGAGCCCGCGGAGGGGAUGCUCCCCGCGGAGGGGGUGCUCCCUGCGGAAGAGGUGCUCCCCGUGGAGGGGAUGCUCCGAGCAGAGGGGGUGGGUGCUCCCCGCAGGGGGGGUGCUCCGAGCGGAGGGGAUGCUCCCAGCGGAGGAGGUGCUCUGAGCAGAGGGGGUGCUCCCCGCGGAAGAGGUGCUCCCCGCGGAGGGGGUGCUCCCAGCGGAGGGGGUGCUCCCUGCAGGGCGGGUGCUCCCCGCAGAGGGGGUGUGGCCUCAGGCAAACCCGGACCCCAGGAGACGCCUCACCCCCCGGCAAGAGCAGCGAGCACCUCCCUCCGCUCCUCCCUCACCUGCCUGGUCACAGACAUGCAGGUGGAGCUCCGUUGGCCUGAGCUGGAAGCCUGGACUCUUCCUUGUUGUCUGCCCCCCCCAUGCCCCAGCGCGUUUGCCUGCCAGCUCCCGUUUGCAGCCCUAGCUGGUCCCGCAGACACACAGGGGCCACAUCACCCACUGAUUCCAUUCGCAGGGAGGCCGAGGCGUGGGGGAGGGGCUGGUCAAGGCCACCGUCCAGGGGACAGCCAGAUCCUAACUCUCAGGCUGGGCUUCUCCAGGGAGGCAGAGCCAGGCCGGCACAGAGGAGGGAGGCCCCGGGCAGAGGUGCCCUGGUGGAGAAGCUGCAGGCUGCCGGGCCUCAGCGUCUGGCAAGGGCCAGGGUGGCUGCGGGCUCCGCUCGGUUCCCACCGCACCCUGGCGUGGGGUGGCACAUGUGUACAUGCCCCACGCACACAGG
rnacentral:lncRNA from 1 species